UGUUUACAAGCAUUCUCUCAGAUGUUAAUAAUCAGCACACUGAUGUAAACACGCAAACACUGUAAAUACUCUGAGCAUGAACACACAUUAAUGUUUCUCUGUAGAUCUGAAGAGUUGGAGCUGAAGAACCUGAAUGUGAUUUAUUAAAUAACAAGAUUCCUGGGAUAUGAUUUCAGGAGUUUGUGUGCCAAUAUAAUCUAAGCAUUGGUGGUAAACAGAUUUGGCUUGAUGUCUGCAAUGGACAGAAAGAUAAAUAAAUAAGUAUGCAUAAAAAGGAGGCGAUGGGGAGGAGGGGGAUGCCAAAAGAACUAACAACGGAAAUGGGAGUUUUUGCCCAGAACAGAACCAUGCUGCCAAUCCAGACCGUGUGCUAAUUGUCAAUCAUCUUUGACGAUAGUGGUCCUGACAGAAAUACCAUUUCAAAGCAGCGAGUUAGAAGAAUGUGCUAAAUAUAUUUUUACUAAAUUCAAUUUUAAUAACAUAAACUCCGGCAGUCCUACAGAACAUGUUAAGUCUUUCUUUUCUCUCCAAUCUCCCCCAGAUUCUUGUUUGAAAACCCUUUUAAAUGUCUCCGUCAGGACUGAUGGAGAACAAUACAGGAGCUGUGAUGAGACGGAAACGACGGGAGUCAGAGAGCCUCACAGAUGACGGUGAGGACAGCGAGGUUACACUCCUCUCUGGAGGGAUAGCGAGCAGAAAUUGCAGCGUUUCAUGUCUUUGUUUAUGACAGCUUUGAAUAAAUUUGUGUGAGUC